rnacentral:rRNA from 1 species
CCUACGGGGGGCAGCAGUGGGGAAUAUUGCACAAUGGGCGCAAGCCUGAUGCAGCCAUGCCGCGUGUGUGAAGAAGGCCUUCGGGUUGUAAAGCACUUUCAGCGGGGAGGAAGGCGUUAAGGUUAAUAACCUUGGCGAUUGACGUUACCCGCAGAAGAAGCACCGGCUAACUCCGUGCCAGCAGCCGCGGUAAUACGGAGGGUGCAAGCGUUAAUCGGAAUUACUGGGCGUAAAGCGCACGCAGGCGGUCUGUCAAGUCGGAUGUGAAAUCCCCGGGCUCAACCUGGGAACUGCAUUCGAAACUGGCAGGCUAGAGUCUUGUAGAGGGGGGUAGAAUUCCAGGUGUAGCGGUGAAAUGCGUAGAGAUCUGGAGGAAUACCGGUGGCGAAGGCGGCCCCCUGGACAAAGACUGACGCUCAGGUGCGAAAGCGUGGGGAGCAAACAGGAUUAGAACCCUGGUAGUC